GAUGAACGCUGGCGGCGUGCAUAACACAUUCAAGUCGAACGGUGAAGGGGCUUCGGCCCCUGAUCAGUGGCGGACGGGUGAGUAACGCGUGAGCAACCUGCCCUUGUGUGGGGGUUACCGUCUGGAAACGGACGUUAAUACCGCAUAACGUAUUGGAGCUGCAUGGAUCCGAUACCAAAGAUUUAUUGGGCAAGGAUGGGGUCGCGUCCCAUUAGAUAGUUGGUAGGGUAACGGUCUACCAAGUCGACGAUGGGUAGCCGGACUGAGGGGUUGAACGGCAACAUUGGAACUGAGAUACGGUCAAGAAUCCUACGGGAGGCAGCAGUGGGGAAUAUUGGGCAAUGAGCGAAAGCCUGACCCAGCGACGCCGCGUGAAGGAAGAAGGUCUUCGGAUUGUAAACUUCUUUUAUUAGGGACGAAUGAUGACGGUACCUAAUGAAUAAGCCAUGGCUAACUACGUGCCAGCCGCCGCAGUAAAAC
rnacentral:rRNA from 1 species